rnacentral:sRNA from 1 species
ACAGAGACAGAGAGAGACAGAGAGAGAGGAGGAGGAAAUCAAUUCAUCAUUCUGUGUGAUUGUCCAUAGUGAAUGUUAUGGAGGCAACCCAUGGUUCACUGUCCCAGACUAGAAGUUUUAUUCAUCUAAACAGAACUGGGAAUUGAUUUUCAAACCCUGUUAAAAAUUAUCUAUUACUUGCUGUAAUUUGGGACUGUGGAAACCCAGGCCACAUCUGUCUCCUGAAGGGAUUAGUAACAGGCUCUGAGAGCUGCACAGAAGCGCCAAGCUACACCAUCUUAUGCCAGGUCACUGUCCUACACAAAUAGCAAAGAAAAAAAAGUGAAAAAAGAAGAAAGAAAGAAGCAAACAAAGACCUAGACUUUGUAUGUGGAGACGUGCCUGGUGUC